AUGAACGCUAGCUACAGGCUUAACACAUGCAAGUCGAGGGGCAGCAUUUUAGUUUGCUUGCAAACUAAAGAUGGCGACCGGCGCACGGGUGAGUAACACGUAUCCAACCUGCCGAUAACUCGGGGAUAGCCUUUCGAAAGAAAGAUUAAUAUCCGAUGGUAUAUUAAAACCGCAUGGUUUUACUAUUAAAGAAUUUCGGUUAUCGAUGGGGAUGCGUUCCAUUAGUUUGUUGGCGGGGUAACGGCCCACCAAGACUACGAUGGAUAGGGGUUCUGAGAGGAAGGUCCCCCACAUUGGAACUGAGACACGGUCCAAACUCCUACGGGAGGCAGCAGUGAGGAAUAUUGGUCAAUGGACGAGAGUCUGAACCAGCCAAGUAGCGUGAAGGAUGACUGCCCUAUGGGUUGUAAACUUCUUUUAUAUGGGAAUAAAGUAUUCCACGUGUGGGAUUUUGUAUGUACCAUAUGAAUAAGGAUCGGCUAACUCCGUGCCAGCAGCCGCGGUAAUACGGAGGAUCCGAGCGUUAUCCGGAUUUAUUGGGUUUAAAGGGAGCGUAGGUGGAUUGUUAAGUCAGUUGUGAAAGUUUGCGGCUCAACCGUAAAAUUGCAGUUGAAACUGGCAGUCUUGAGUACAGUAGAGGUGGGCGGAAUUCGUGGUGUAGCGGUGAAAUGCUUAGAUAUCACGAAGAACUCCGAUUGCGAAGGCAGCUCACUAGACUGCAACUGACACUGAUGCUCGAAAGUGUGGGUAUCAAACAGGAUUAGAUACCCUGGUAGUCCACACAGUAAACGAUGAAUACUCGCUGUUUGCGAUAUACAGUAAGCGGCCAAGCGAAAGCAUUAAGUAUUCCACCUGGGGAGUACGCCGGCAACGGUGAAACUCAAAGGAAUUGACGGGGACCCGCACAAGCGGUGGAGCAUGUGGUUUAAUUCGAAGCAACGCGAAGAACCUUACCAGGUCUUGACAUCCCGAUGAAAAACCCGUAACGGGGUUCCCUCUUCGGAGCAUCGGAGACAGGUGGUGCAUGGUUGUCGUCAGCUCGUGUCGUGAGAUGUUGGGUUAAGUCCCGCAACGAGCGCAACCCUUAUGGUCAGUUACUACGUAAGAGGACUCUGGCCAGACUGCCGUUGACAAAACGGAGGAAGGUGGGGAUGACGUCAAAUCAGCACGGCCCUUACGUCCGGGGCUACACACGUGUUACAAUGGGGGGUACAGAAGGCAGCUACCUGGUGACAGGAUGCUAAUCCCAAAAACCUCUCUCAGUUCGGAUCGAAGUCUGCAACCCGACUUCGUGAAGCUGGAUUCGCUAGUAAUCGCGCAUCAGCCAUGGCGCGGUGAAUACGUUCCCGGGCCUUGUACACACCGCCCGUCACACCAUGGGAGUCGGAAAUGCCCGAAGUCUGUGACUCAACCGCAAGGAGAGAGCAGCCGAAGGCAGGUCUGAUAACUGGGGUG
rnacentral:rRNA from 1 species